rnacentral:rRNA from 1 species
GCCAGUGGUGAACUCCACAUACGCAUCCUUUGCUGAGGAUACGGUUAACGGAGCGAAAGCGACGUUCAACCGCAAAAGAAGCAGAGGGGGCUUAGUGGUGGGGUGACUGCGUACCUUUUGUAUAAUGGGUCAGCGACUUAUAUUCUGUAGCAAGGUUAACCGAAUAGGGGAGCCGGAGGGAAACCGAGUCUUAAUUGGGCGUUAAGUUGCAGGGUAUAGACCCGAAACCCGGUGAUCUAGCCAUGGGCAGGUUGAAGGUUGGGUAACACUAACUGGAGGACCGAACCGACUAAUGUUGAAAAAUUAGCGGAUGACCUGUGGCUGGGGGUGAAAGGCCAAUCAAACCGGGAGAUAGCUGGUUCUCCCCGAAAGCUAUUUAGGUAGCGCCUCGUGAACUCAUCUCCGGGGGUAGAGCACUGUUUCGGCUAGGGGGCCAUCCCGGCUUACCAACCCGAUGCAAACUGCGAAUACCGGAGAAUGUUAUCACGGGAGACACACGGCGGGUGCUAACGUCCGUCGUGAAGAGGGAAACAACCCAGACCGCCAGCUAAGGUCCCAAAGUCAUGGUUAAGUGGGAAACGAUGUGGGAAGGCCCAGACAGCCAGGAUGUUGGCUUAGAAGCAGCCAUCAUUUAAAGAAAGCGUAAUAGCUCACUGGUCGAGUCGGCCUGCGCGGAAGAUGUAACGGGGCUAAACCAUGCACCGAAGCUGCGGCAGCGAACGUAUCACUUAAAGCGAUUCAGCGGGUUACGAUUGACGGAGCGAAGCGACGUCAAAGCGUAUACAAAGUCGAGUCGGUUUAAGGAUACGU